rnacentral:snRNA from 1 species
AAAAAGGGCUUCUGUCAUGAGUGGCACACAUAGAGCAGCUUGACUGCUCUACGUGCGGAAUCGACAUCAAGAGAUUUCAGAAGCAUAGCUUUUUGGUACUUGGGCAGCUAGUGAUCGUUGGUCCCGGCCCCCGC